GAUGAACGCUAGCGGCAGGCCUAAUACAUGCAAGUCGAACGGAUGUCAGCAAUGGCAUUAGUGGCGCACGGGUGCGUAACGCGUAACCAACCUACCCUUGACUGGGGGAUAGCCCGCCGAAAGGCGGAUUAAUACCGCAUAAACCAACAGAACGGCAUCGUUUAAUUGGUAAAGAUUUAUUGGUCAAGGAUGGGGUUGCGUAGCAUUAGCUAGAUGGCGAGGUAACGGCUCACCAUGGCGACGAUGCUUAGGGGAGCUGAGAGGCUGAUCCCCCACACUGGCACUGAGAUACGGGCCAGACUCCUACGGGAGGCAGCAGUAGGGAAUAUUGGGCAAUGGGCGAGAGCCUGACCCAGCCAUGCCGCGUGCCGGAUGAAGGCCUUCUGGGUUGUAAACGGCUUUUCUCAGGGAAGAAAAAGGGGAUGCGUCCUCAACUGACGGUACCUGAGGAAUAAGCACCGGCUAACUCC
rnacentral:rRNA from 1 species